rnacentral:lncRNA from 1 species
AAGGCCAUGAAGAACAAGUCUUCAUUAUUCAUAAAUGUUAGAAUAUACAUAUGAAAUGUGAUGUCAUGACACAUAUUUAUUUCAUACUAUAUGUAUAAACAUUAUCAAAGUCUAUAUUACAUUGAUACCUUCGGCUUGUUUGAAGGUGAAGACAUGAGAGCAAAUACAAUACAACGUGAACAAUACGGGGGUACUGUUGAUCUAUUUAUAGGCACGGGACGCAGACCGAGUAAAAAUACAUUUAUGACCUUAACGUGUACACAUAAUCCUAAUACAAAACAUCAGGGAUUAACUAGUCUUUUUCUCUUCAACUCAACAUUAUGUUUGACCUUCGUCGCCACAUUAAGUUGAAGCUGUCGUUCUUUGGCUCUUUACAUAUGUUCGUUGUAGCUUCGACAUUCGAUCUUGUCGCUUACAGACAAUAUCUCCGUCUUGAGGACCUUCGACAGAGGAGACCUCCAACAAGCUCGUCCAACACCUCAGGAAGACUUCCGCCUCGCCUGAGCAAGGCUCUGACCUCGAUAAAAGCAGCCAGGAAUCUCGACAUCAUCCCGCGCAAGGACGCUGACGCACCCCGUAAGCAGGCCUUUAGCCCAUACCCUGACGCUGUUACAACAACUACGGUAUGGGUAGCCUCUCCCCCGGGGGCUCGGGCGUACGGACAACCCCUCGGCCUUUGCCUCGGCUCUCAGCAGGAAACCAGCAGGCACUAGUCAAUAAUGCAGUGCACCAUCAUGUCGGCUGGCAGGGCGCCAAGACAUCUCUCCUUCGAAUACAACCACACCAGGCUUCACCGUGGACACCCCCUUUGUGUAUAAAUAGGACAGUAGAGUUCCUCCAGGAGGACGCACAGACAAGCAGGACACUCAGACGAACACUCUAUUCUCCAACCAGUCUUCGAUAUUGACACUUGCUUCAAUCAAUUCUAGGGACUUGGGAACUUUUCCUCUCCCGUCGUGCUUGUAAUCCCUACUGUAGGCACCUCGGUACAAGUAAUAUAAGCCUCAUGCCCCUCUGCUGGAAGUAGGGUCUUGCAUUACACGAACCAGGAUAAAUCGCUUGUGUCUACUAGCACACCAUCUAGAUUCUGGCCACACGACAUUAUUUACUAGUUAGUUAGGACCCUUAGUCCAAACACUGACAAAUAAAUACUGCCUUACACACACAUGAGUGAGGGGGGGGGGGGGGGUUGUGGUACCUCCAGAUCUAGCGGUGUACUAUGCCAUACACCAGCAUUGUCGCAGAUAGGGGAGGAGGUAGGGGCAAGCGAUGUAUGCUUUAGCGUUAGCAUGUAGCCCCUACAGGCACUAAGGAUGUCUGCAGCAGCGCCCUCUAAAUUUUAUCCCCUAAAGAAAUAUUCUCUGUCCUUUACAGCACACUCUAAAAUAUUCUGUCCUCUAUAUCUUCCCAGUCUCUAGCAACGUCCUCUAAAUUCGGUCCUCUAAAUCUACAGUGUUAACUGAUUUCCUUUUUCCAUUACACGAUCCUAAAAAAUCGUCCGUGACUACUAAAAUGGCUAACUGCUACUGUUCGGUCACAAAUUAGAACAUUAUUAUGAAGGAACUCAAUACUUUUAACAGGAAACAUUCACCACAUAUUUAAAAAAUUGCGCACAUAUGGCUGAAACAUAAAAUUAGGGGGAAAAUCUAUUGUUUCUGUUUUGGUUUGUUUCCUGUGACUUAUCACCGAUGUCAAAAGAAUCAUCAAGGAAUUCAAUACUUUUAAUAGGAAACAUCCAUCACAUAUUUGAAAAGCUGUGUACAUUAGGGGGAAAUCAGUUGUUUCUGUUUUGGUUAGUUUACUGUAACUUAUCACCAAUGUCAAAAUAAUCAUCAAUUUAUUAAUGGGUACAAUAACUCAGGCACAAAUAAACCAAUUGAAAUAGCACCAACCAAUGCAGUCCCAAGCUACCCAGAUAUGUUUAGGGAGUUGUUAAGCAGCAGAGCAGCAGACAAUUUCACUUGCAUCGCAGGACAUCCAAAAAUAGGUUCUUCCAUCGUCAUCAAUCUGUUUAUAUGCAAAAAUGAAACGAAUAACUAAAUAUUCAGGAACCAGCUAGCAUUUCUAAUUCAUUGCAUUAUUGGUCAUUUCAUUUAAACACCCAUUUUCCUUAGCACAAUGCAAUCAGCAACCAAGCAUUUUAUAUAGAGGUAAAGAUGCGAUGGUUCUUCCCGUCCAAACAACAAUGUCCUUACUGCUAGUGCAUGCUAGUUGCCUACAAAUGAUGUUCUUGUUAAGUUUAUAAAAUCGAUGAUGUGCUUAUGACAUAUUAGUUCAAACUUAAUAGUUUAUGCAAUUGUUUCAAUUCAGUUGCAUCUACCAAGAAACACUUAUUUCAUACUUCGACUUUGGUUGGAGGAUGCAAAGAGGACUAAAAACUGAUAGUGCCAACACUUCACCUGAUCAGUGCAUACUAGAAUGUCACUUGAUAAACAAUUGUACAUAAAAUAUAUAAUCUGACCAAUGGCUAUGAACACUUAAGAAGUAGUUCAAUCUCACUUAGGAAAUGAUUAAAUCUGUUCCUUUGCCUAUACAACAAAAGGAUGAAUCUAGGUAUUUAAAGUAAAUAAAGAAUCUUCUUUGGGAAACAAAAUAUGUUAUUAGAAGAUAGAGUAAUAAUUCAUGAGAUAAUAAGAUAAUAAAAUACUACCCUAUAGUUCUAUGAGCUGUGUAGAGUAAUAAUUCUCUUAUAUAAUUUUAACAGUACCAGAAUAACAAUAAUUCAAGGUUCCAUACAUGAUGACAACCAAGUUAAAUGAUCAUGCAACACUGAAAUUAAGAAGGUAGGGAGACUGUACAAUGUUUCUUAUACAAAAUAACUUUGUAUAGAUGGAUGCAAGAUAGAAAAUGUGAUAUCAAGAUAAAUAAGAUACAAAAUGGGACAUUGGGUUCGAUGAAAUAUUUAUUUUGUACAAACCAUAUAUAAGAAAUAUAGUAGCUUUGAGGAAGUAUCUUCCUAACUUCAACUUGGUAAGCAGGAAUAAUAGAUCAUAUGACACCUAUUUAGAUGUCGACUAAAUUAAUCUGGCUACUGGAAAAAAUAUAUGGGAUCCAAACAGGGUAGUUUCCUCUUUGUUUUGUAGUCACUCACAUAUUCUUUGUUAAUUGGUUUUCGUUUUUCUUAUUAGAUUGUUGCAAAAUAUCUUCAAUGUAUUAGCUACAACUAAACAGAUCCACAUACAAAUAGGAGAGACCGUCAGCAAAUGAACCAUGAGCAGAUCUAACCAAAAAAGGUAUGAUAUACAUGGAAGUUUCUUAGAAGCUAGCAACCAUUCAAAGGGGAAGGAUGACGAUUCUUGCACCUUAAACGACUAGGGUCCAGGGCGGACUACCAAAUCGAAGGAGGACGAUGCUAGUGACACGAUUCGUUUGGUGUUCUCGGCACCAAGCUUGGAGGUCAGAACGAACCAACAUAUGAGUUUUGGUGAUAGCAACCUUGGGGCGAAAGGCUAGUGUAGUUGUUCGUCGGUGCUCUGUGGCGCCCACGACAUCCGACGCCGCCGGCUGGUUGCUGCUUUGCGUAAGGAAACCAAUCGAUGCGAGUGGUCCUCACCAAAAUCAGGUCGACUCCGGCAGCCUGGUGUGGUGGUGCCUAGCUUCGCGUCCGACAUCCUAGCCGCGGGCGUGCCGACGGUGUGGUGGAGAUGGUUGCCAGGGGAACGGAGAUGGAGAGGAAAUCUCCGCAUUGGCGUGGGAUUCACUGCCGACCGGUGUAUAGCGGACGUCUGGAGUCCGCCAAAAUUAGGGGAUGGA